GCAGUUAAAGGUGAAGUGUUAAAAGUUGGAAAUAAGAGCUGUGAGAAUAUACACUUACAUUCUGAAGCCGUUUUAUGCACGGUCCCCAAUGACCUGCUGAAAUUGAACAGCGAGCUAAAUAUAGAGUGGAAGCAAGCAAUUUCUUCAACCGUCCUUGGAAAAGUAAUAGUUCAACCAGAUCAGAAUUUCACAGGAUUGAUUGCUGGUGUUGUCUCAAUAUCAACAGCACUGUUAUUACUACUUGGGUUUUUCCUGUGGCUGAAAAAGAGAAAGCAAAUUAAAGAUCAGUUUCCUAAUUCAUCUCAGAACGGUUCAUGCCGACAAGUGCAGUAUCCUCUGACAGACAUGUCCCCCAUCCUAACUAGUGGGGACUCUGAUAUAUCCAGUCCAUUACUGCAAAAUACUGUCCACAUUGACCUCAGUGCUCUAAAUCCAGAGCUGGUCCAGGCAGUGCAGCAUGUAGUGAUUGGGCCCA
rnacentral:lncRNA from 1 species